AAUCCUAGCUCUGGCAUAAAGAACAUCUGCUUGUUCAUACGACUUCAGGACCAGAUGUCUGAGCACAAUGUAGAUUUCUAAUCCUUAGACACCGACUCAGAAAAGGGGCAGGCAACCCUGGAUGGACUGAGAUGGACUUCCUGCCAUCCUUGAAGAAUGGGGACUCAGGAGGGAAAAAAAGAGUGCUUGACCGAAUCUCCCUCCGUAAAGCAGCACAAAUCCCCUCAUGUCCUGGGUGCUGAGGAGUGGAUAUCUGUCACACAGAGCUUCCUGGAUUUUCCCUCCUGGAUCACAGCUCUGAGAAGUCAUCAGAGGAGAAAAGUAGCUAAAAAACGGAAUGAUAAGACAAAUGAAAAUACACAGCCACAUGACAACUGGACCUGAUGUUCACAGCAGCACUGUUCAUAAUCGCCCCAAAGUGGAAAUGACCCAAAUGUCCAUCAAGUGAUGAAUGGAUAAACAGAAUGUCAAAUGGACCUACAACGGAAUAU